UUUCCCUUAGAUGAAAAUAGAUACAAGAGAGAAGACUGGUAUGGCCCCUGCACAAGGAUGACAUACAAAUGUGUGAAGCAGUCUAUAUUGUU
rnacentral:snRNA from 1 species